UUGUUAUAUUAUUCCCAUGUCAAUUUCCCAAUUUAGAGUUACUUGAUCUUGUCUAAACAGAAUUCACAGUACAUUUACACAGUUAUUCAAAUAUCUUGAGGCAUUUUCUUCCUGAAAUCUUACUUUACUUAUGCCAUAAUGUCUUUAUUCUCUUUUUUACAAUAAACAACAAAAGCUUAUCAUGCUUAUAAUCAUUAAACAUUUUUUUGUUGA